GGGGAAUUAGUUCAAUGGUAGAACAUCCGCUUUACACGCGGGUUGUUGAGAGUUCGAGUCCCUCAUUCCUCA
rnacentral:tRNA from 1 species